rnacentral:rRNA from 1 species
ACAGCAGUAGCCGCGGUAAUACAGAGGGUGCGAGCGUUAAUCGGAUUUACUGGGCGUAAAGCGUGCGUAGGCGGCUAAUUGAGUCGGAUGUGAAAUCCCCGAGCUUAACUUGGGAAUUGCAUUCGAUACUGGUUAGCUAGAGUGUGGGAGAGGAUGGUAGAAUUCCAGGUGUAGCGGUGAAAUGCGUAGAGAUCUGGAGGAAUACCGAUGGCGAAGGCAGCCAUCUGGCCUAACACUGACGCUGAGGUACGAAAGCAUGGGGAGCAAACAGGAUUAGAUACCCGGGUAGUCCCUGUCUCUUAUAA